UACGUAGGGCGCAAGCGUUGUCCGGAAUUAUUGGGCGUAAAGAGCUCGUAGGCGGCUUGUCACGUCGGGUGUGAAAGCCCCGGGCUUAACCUGGGAGGUGCGUUUGAUACGGAUGGGCUAGAGUCCGGAAGAGGAGAGUGGAAUUCCCGGUGUAGCGGUGAAAUGCGCAGAUAUCGGGAAGAACACCCGUGGCGAAGGCGGCUCUCUGGGACGGUACUGACGCUGAGACACGAAAGCGUGGGGAGCAAACAGG
rnacentral:rRNA from 1 species